rnacentral:rRNA from 1 species
AUUCCAGCUCCAAUAGCGUAUAUUAAAGUUGUUGCAGUUAAAAAGCUCGUAGUCGGAUUUUGGCAUCACGCCGAACUGUCUGCCGAUUGGUAAGUACGGUUUGGCGGGUGCUUCCUUCCGGAGGCUCGUUCCCUUCUUCAUUGAAGGGUUCGUUGGUUCCGGGUCUUUUACUUUGAGAAAAUUAGAGUGUUCAAAGCAGGCCUAUGCUCUGAAUAGGUUAGCAUGGAAUAAUAGAAUAGGACUUUGGUCUUAUUUUGUUGGUUUCUAAGGCCGAGGUAAUGAUUAAUAGGGAUAGUUGGGGGCGUUUAUAUUCCAUUGUCAGAGGUGAAAUUCUUGGAUUUAUGGAAGAUAAACUACUGCGAAAGCAUUCGCCAAGGAUGUUUUCAUUG